rnacentral:rRNA from 1 species
GACGAACGCUGGCGGCGUGCUUAACACAUGCAAGUCGAACGGAAAGGCCCUGCUUUUGUGGGGUGCUCGAGUGGCGAACGGGUGAGUAACACGUGAGUAACCUGCCCUUGACUUUGGGAUAACUUCAGGAAACUGGGGCUAAUACCGGAUAGGAGCUCCUGCUGCAUGGUGGGGGUUGGAAAGUUUCGGCGGUUGGGGAUGGACUCGCGGCUUAUCAGCUUGUUGGUGGGGUAGUGGCUUACCAAGGCUUUGACGGGUAGCCGGCCUGAGAGGGUGACCGGCCACAUUGGGACUAAGGUACGGCCCAGACUCCUACGGGGGGCAGCAGUGGGGAAUAUUGCACAAUGGGCGGAAGCCUGAUGCAGCAACGCCGCGUGCGGGAUGACGGCCUUCGGGUUGUAAACCGCUUUCGCCUGUGACGAAGCGUGAGUGACGGUAAUGGGUAAAGAAGCACCGGCUAACUACGUG